rnacentral:ncRNA from 1 species
AUGACUAGUCAUUGCGAGAGUAAUCCUGCUCAGUACGAGAGGAACCGCAGGUUCGGACAUUUGGUUCACGCACUCGGUGGAGCGGCCGGUGGUGCCAAGCUACCAUCCGUGGGAUUAUGCCUGAACGCCUCUAAGACCGUAUCCUCUCUAGUCAAAGGUGGCAAUGAUAUCUCUAGGAGUCUCGUGAGUCGAAAGGCUCAAAACAAUGUGACACUACUAGGCGGCCGGUUGCCCUUCGCGGGGCGGACCGAUUGUCGCACGAGCCCGGAUUACCGUACGGCGCCAUCGUCCGUCGUCGAGAACUCACCGCCUACGACGGCGCGGCGUCUAACGGUCAAACAUGAGUUUCGCGAGUUCGAUGUCGGAAUUGUCUGAAGACGACUUAGGUACCUGGCGGGGUGUUGUACUCGGUAGAGCAGUUACCACGCUGCGAUCUGUUGAGACUUAGCCGUCGGCUUGGGGAUUCGU